UUUAUUGAAACUGGAAUGAAAGGCUUAACAAAUGCAUAAUUUUUUAUUUAAAAUAACUAAAAUUUUUAUUUUUUGUAAGAAUACAUAAAUAUUUAAAAGGGACGAUAAGACCCUAAAAGCUUUAUUAGUUAAAUUUUUAUUAUUAUUUUAAUUUGAUUAUUUAAUGUAUUUUAACUGGGGCGGUUGUUUUUAUAACAAAAGUUUUUUUUACAAAUAGGUUAAAAGAUCCUUAAAAUUAGGAUAGGUUGUUUAAGUUACUUUAGGGGUAACAGCGUAAUAAUAAUAGGGAGACCUUAUUUAUAUUAUUGAUUGCGACCUCGAUGUUGAAUUAAAUAUUUCCAUAUAAAGCAGAAAUUAUGUGUGAAAGUUUGUUCAACUUUUAAAGAUUUACAUGAUCUGA
rnacentral:rRNA from 1 species